GCUACAUGGAUACCUGUGGUAAUUCUAGAGCUAAUACAUGCGUCCGAGUUUGACUUAGCGGAAGACUUGAGUUUGUUAGCUUUCAGAAUCAACCCAGGUUCUACCUGGUCUAUUGAUGACCCAUAACAAUUAUUCGAAUCGCAAGACGAAAGUCGGCGAUGUGUCAAAUAAAUUUGUGACCUAUCAGCUUUCGACGGUAUGAUAUAGGCUUACCGUGGCAAUGACGGGUAACGGAGAAUUAGGGUUCGAUUCCGGAGAGGGAGCCUGAGAAACCGCUACCACAUCUGAGGAAGGCAGCAGGCGCGCAAAUUACCCAAUUCUGAUACAGGGAGGUAGUGACAAGAAAUAACAAUUCAGGGCAUCCAUGUCUUGUACUUGGGAUGAGUGGAAAUUAAAUUUCUUCACAAGCAUUGAUUGGAGGGCAAGUCUGGUGCCAGCAGCCGCGGUAAUUCCAGCUCCAAUAGCAUAUAUUAAAGUUGUUGCGGUUAAAAAGCUCGUAGUUGGAUUCCUGGCGAGGUGGACCAGUCUACCCACUGGGUUAGAAUUUGGUUUGGCCUUGCCAUAUUCUUGGCAUACGCUAUUGCACUUGAUUGUGCAAAGCGGCACCCAAGACAUUUACUUUGAGGAAAUUAGAGUGUUUCAAGCAGGCACAUGCCUUGAAUACAUUAGCAUGGAAUAAUGAAGCAGGACCUUUGCUCUUUUUUGUUGGUUUCUAGAGCUAGGGUAAUGAUUGACAGGGAUGGUUGGGGGCACUCAUAUUUAACUGUCAGAGGUGAAAUUCUUGGAUCUGUUAAAGAUGAACUACUGCGAAAGCAUUUGCCAAGGAUGUUUUCAUUGAUCAAGAACGAAAGUUAGGGGUUCGAAGACGAUCAGAUACCGUCCUAGCCUUAACCAUAAACCAUGCCAACUAGAGAUUGGAAGCCGUUAGCUAUACGAUUCUUCCAGCAUCAUAUGGGAAAUCAAAGUCUUUGGGUUCCGGGGGGAGUAUGGUCGCAAGACUGAAACUUAAAGGAAUUGACGGAAGGGCACCACCAGAAAUGGAGCCUGCGGCUUAAUUUGACUCAACACGGGGAAGCUUACCAGGUCCAGACAUAGUAAGGAUUGACAGAUUGAAGCUCUUUCUUGAUUUUAUGGGUGGUGGUGCAUGGCCGUUCUUAGUUGGUGGAGUGAUUUGUCUGGUUAAUUCCGUUAACGAACGAGACCUUAACCUGCUCAAUAGUUACACGUAACCUUGGUUAUGUGGGUAGCUUCUUAGAGGGACUUUGUAUGUUUAAUGCAAGGAAGUUUGAGGCAAUAACAGGUCUGUGAUGCCCUUAGAUGUUCUGGGCUGCACGCGCGCUACACUGCUGCGUUCAACAAGUUGCUGACCUUAUCUGGAAAGACUGGGUAAUCUUCUCAAAACGCAUCGUGAUGGGGAUAGAUUAUUGUAAUUAUUAAUCUUCAACGAGGAAUUUCUAGUAAGCGUGAGUCAUCAGCUCGCGCUGAUUACGUCCCUGCCCUUUGUACACACCGCCCGUCGCUCCUACCGAUUGAGUGUUCCUGUGAAUUGCUUGGAUCAUAACAACAAUCAGAUUCUGGAUGUUGCAGUGAGAAAUUCUG
rnacentral:rRNA from 1 species